GAAAUGCGAUAAGUAAUGUGAAUUGCAGAAUUCAGUGAAUCAUCGAAUCUUUGAACGCACAUUGCGCCCGCCAGCACUCUGGCGGGCAUGCCUGUCCGAGCGUCAUCUCCACCCUCGGGCCCCCCCCUCCCCGCGCGGCGCGCAAGCGCCCGGGGCGGGGGGCGGCCCGGCGUUGGGGGACGGCCCCGCGCCGCCCCCGAAAUCCAGUGGCGACCCCGCCCGCGGCACCCCCUGCGUAGUAGCAACUGCUCGCACCGGGCGCCCGGCGGCGGUCACUGCCGCGAAACACCCCCCACCAUCAAGUUGACCUCGGAUCAGGUAGGAGUACCCGCUGAACUUAA
rnacentral:misc_RNA from 1 species